UAAAACAAGUUCGGACGGAUCGUCGUCAUUGUCCCUAUCUACUAUCUAGCGAAACCACAGCCAAGGGAACGGGCUUGGGAAUAAUUAGCGGGGAAAGAAGACCCUUUUGAGCUUGACUCUAAUCUGGCAGUAUAAGGAGACAUAAGAGGUGUAGAAUAAGUGGGAGAUAUUAGUCCUCGGUUUGGUAUCGUCAAUGAAAUACCACUACUCUUAUUGUUUCCUUACUUACUUGAUUAAAUGGAACGUUUAUCAUUUCCUAGCCAUUAUACGGAUAUAUUUAUUAUAUCUUAUGGUAUUGGGUUUUGAUGCAAGCUUCUUGAUCAAAGUAUCACGAGUUUGUUAUAUAAUCGCAAACAAACUCUGCAAUA
rnacentral:ncRNA from 1 species